CUUGUAUAUCUUGCGACUUUAGCAUUUGGGCUCUUACAUAUCUUAGCCGUGUGCCAUUUGUCCCAGCCUAAGGUUCUAUGACAGAUUGCACCAAAUUUCUUAUCCUCGUGAAGGGAACAUUAUGCUGCAGCGUAGGCCAUGGCUUCAGAAUUCAGAUAACUGGGGUAGAUUCUUGUUCACGAAAUUUUCAAACGGUU